rnacentral:rRNA from 1 species
GACGGGGGAUGCAAGCGUUAUCCGGACUCACUGGGCGUAAAGCGUCUGUAGGAGGUGAUGCCAGUCACUGGUGCAAAACUCUGGCUCAACCGGAGGAAAGCCAGUGAAACUGCAUGACUAGAGUGUGGGAGAGGUAGAAGGAAUUCCCUGAGUAGCGGUGAAAUGCGUAGAUACAGGGAAGUACACCGGAGGCGAAAGCGUUCUACUGGAACACAACUGACACUGAGAGACGAAAGCUAUGGGAGCGAAUGGG